rnacentral:rRNA from 1 species
GACGAACGCUGGCGGCGUGCCUAAUACAUGCAAGUCGAGCGAAUCGGCGGUUGGGUGAGUAACGCCUGGGUAACCUGCCCUUAAGUCUGGGAUACCAUUUGGAAACAGAUGCUAAUACCGGAUACUUAAGGAUUGACCUUGGUUGCAUUAGCUAGUUGGUAAGGUAACGGCUUACCAAGGCGAUGAUGCAUAGCCGGGUUGAGAGACUGAUCGGCCACAUUGGGACUGAGACACGGCCCAAACUCCUACGGGAGGCAGCAGUAGGGAAUCUUCCACAAUGGACGAAAGUCUGAUGGAGCAACGCCGCGUGAGUGAAGAAGGUUUUCGGAUCGUAAAGCUCUGUUGUUGGUGAAGCGGUAAUCAACCAGAAAGUCACGGCUAACUACGUGCCAGCCGCCGCGGUAAUUC